UAGUCGAACAACACAACGCUGACUGGCAAAUAAGACAAAUACAACAAAAACAGCAACAAUGUCCAAUUGGCGUGAACUAUUUCCAACCAAAUUGACUUUCAUCAUUUUCCUGCUGUACAUGUCAUUGUUUAUUGGACAAGGCAUAUUUGUCACAGCAUCGCAGGAAUCUAAUAAUUCGUAUAGUUAUAAUACGGUGACCGUUGUGCUGCUCACCGAAAUCCUUAAGCUAAUUGUCUCCGCUUGCCUCUACUGCAGGGAAAACAAUUUACAGUCGCUACUGCACGAUGUGCACAAAGAUCGUAAGGUGCUAGCGCUUUAUAUGGUGCCCGCAUUUCUUUAUUGCCUCUACAAUAAUCUCGCGUUUGUGAAUCUCGCCACCUUCGAUCCGACCACAUAUUAUCUGCUACUGCAGCUGCGCGUCGUUGUCACCGGCGUCCUCUUUCAAAUCAUCUUCAAGAAGUAUCUGUCGCGUCGCCAAUGGAUCUCACUUUUGCUGCUGACGCUCGGUUGCAUGCUGAAGCAGGUAGACUUGAAUAGCUUCUACAGCGAUGCGAAUGACGAUAGCGAAGCUGCUGCACUUCAAGCAGGUGGCGGCGACCCUGCGGCUGUCACAACUAAACCUGUAGCUAAAAAUAUGACGGGCUUUGAUUUUAGUAUCAGUGCGGUGUUCAUCUUGGCGCAGACGAUCUUCUCAUGCUUAGCGGGUGUCUACAAUGAGUACCUGCUAAAAGACAAAGGCGCUGAUGUCAAUAUCUUUGUGCAGAACGUGUUUAUGUAUCUGGAUUCGAUUGUCUGCAAUGCGGUUAUACUGUUAUUCCGUGGAGAACUUUUCAAUGCAUUUAGUGCUCACAAUUUGGGAAGCAUUAUGCGCUUCAGUGUGAUCAUUAUAAUUGUGAACAAUGCGGCCAUUGGUAUUGUGACGAGUUUCUUUCUCAAGUACAUGAACUCGAUCCUCAAAACAUUCGCCAGCGCUUUGGAACUCCUUUUCACGGCUGUGCUCUGCUAUUUCCUGUUCGCCAUACCCAUCUAUAUGAAUACGGCGCUGGCAAUUGCCGUAGUCUCAUAUGCCAUCUAUUUGUAUACGCAGAGUCCGGUUGUUAAUCUGGGCAAAGUGCGUCCGCUGACGCAGCUGAGUGAGGCUACAACGAAUCCCAAGGAAAGAGAAGACAAACGAAAGCUCUUGGAUGAGCAGCAGGAUGAGACGGACUUAGAGAUGGAUAAUAUAGUUUAACAAUAACGCAAUCUUCUCAUAGUGUAAAUAGGUCGCUACUGAAUAGUCACUGCCCUUUGUAAGUGUUGCAGUGCAGUCACUGCCUUUUUCUAGAGAGUGUUGCAGUGCAGCAAAGUGCCUAAACAUUUGUUUUAAACGAAAAGCGAGCGUGCAAUCUUUGUAUGUAUGAGCAUAUGUGUAUGUGUAAAUAGCGUUUCCGUUUUAGAUAAUAAUUCAACAUCGUUUCCGUAAAUAAACAUAACACAUUUUCAAAAAUUGACUUUCGGUAAGGAAGAAAGGUUUUAUUUUACUCAAAUGAAAAUUAGUAAUAUAGUGGGGAUUUACGUGCUUGCAAUGCUAUUUCCGCUCAUGAUGCUUAUGAUAAUCUGCACAUUUUGAGAAAUGCUCCUCCAGUUCCUCUUCCAGCAAAGGAUUAGUUACAUUAUAUUUGCAAAUUGCAAGUGGAGGACCUUUGUAAUUGCGCGCGCAUUUAAUUAUGUACCCAGGCAUCUUAUAUAGCAUAAUGCGAUGCUCCUUGUUGUAAGGACAGGUGCCAUAUUUUUAUUUUAAGUACUGCAAUUAAGUAUAAUUAAUACGAUUCUGUAUUACAAAUCUGAAUGAUUCCAUUUACACUUACAAGCUUUUAAAGUACCGCUACUUCAAAAAUCUCGUUCUAGAGAUGAUUGGUAGUAUUUGCUGUAACGAUAUUUUCACGUGAUUCUUCGAUUUACAAUAUGGUCGUAUCGAUAUUUCGUGAAAUAUCAUUAAAAUAGUAUCGAGAUACAUGAUAUAAAUUAAUCAAUUCUAUAAUUUAAAAUGCAAAAUUGUAUUUUCAAAAUAAAUAGUUCUCUAUUAUAUGCGCUUAAAUUAGUUUGCGUAAUUGCUGGUACUCGAUAUCACGCAAAUGUUAAUGUAUUAUCGGUAAUCGAUACUCUUCGAAUGGUGAAAAUAAUCCAGCAGUAUUGCCUCCCCCCGACCCCUCGCUUAUUUCAUUCAUUGAAAAGUUAUCGUACAGUUCGGACGUCACUUUUAUCUCAACGCAACAAAAAAAACUUUAAUUGCAAAUAGUGAAAAAAUUCUUUUUCAUUGUGAACAAAAAGCAAAAUGGCUCGUACUAAGCAAACAGCUCGUAAAUCAACUGGAGGCAAGGCUCCGCGUAAACAAUUGGCCA